rnacentral:rRNA from 1 species
UACGUAGGGGGCUAGCGUUGUCCGGAAUCAUUGGGCGUAAAGCGCGCGUAGGCGGCCAGAUAAGUCCGGUGUGAAAGUCAAAGGCUCAACCUUUGAAUGCCGCUGGAAACUGUCUGGAUAGAGUCCGGAAGGGGCGAGUGGAACUCCUGGUGUAGCGGUGAAAUGCGCAGAUAUCAGGAAGAACACCAAUGGCGAAGGCGGUGCUCUGGGCCGGAACUGACGCUGAGGAGCGAAAGCGUGGGGAGCAAACAGG